rnacentral:lncRNA from 1 species
ACACAAUCUAGAGUGAACUCUCACUUACAUGUGUAGGGCAAGAAGAAAUUGUACUUUUCAUAUUCAGUAUCUACUUUUUCCAAGUCACUAACAAGCAGACAUUGGCAAAGUCUUCAGAAAAUGUGGGUCAUCUUUGGUCAAGUUUCAAUCUCAGAAGGUGCAUCUAAGUCACAUUUCCGAAUAUUCUGAGAUGACCUCUCCCGACAGGAUGACAAUGAUCCCCCAAAAGAAUAUGAUCCUGGGCAAUUUGCAGGCCUGCUCCAUGGAUCCUCUCCAGCCUGUGAGUCCCCUGAAAAUCCAUUUCAUCUCUAUGGGAAAAGAGAACAAUGUGAAAAAGGACAAGAUGAAGUCAGUUUGGCAAACAGUCCUUUGCCUUUCAAGCAGUCUCCAAUAGAAAAUAACUCAGAACCUUUGGUAAAGAAAAUUAAACCCAAAGUGGUCAGUAGAACAAUUUUUCACAAAAAAAGCAACCAACUCGAAAACCAUACCAUUGUUGGCACAAGAUCAACCAGGAGUGGAUCUCGGAAUGGGGACCAGUGGGUUAUGAACGCAGGGGGAUUUGUGGAGAGAG